rnacentral:rRNA from 1 species
GAUGAACGCUGGCGGCGUGCUUAACACAUGCAAGUCGAACGAAGCACUUUAUUUGAUUUCCUUCGGGACUGAUUAUUUUGUGACUGAGUGGCGGACGGGUGAGUAACGCGUGGGUAACCUGCCUUGUACAGGGGGAUAACAGUUGGAAACGGCUGCUAAUACCGCAUAAGCGCACGGCAUCGCAUGAUGCAGUGUGAAAAACUCCGGUGGUAUAAGAUGGACCCGCGUUGGAUUAGCUAGUUGGUGAGGUAACGGCCCACCAAGGCGACGAUACAUAGCCGAACUGAGAGGGUGACCGGCCACAGUGGGACUGAGACACGGCCCAAACUCCUACGGGAGGCAGCAGUGGGGAAUAUUGCACAAUGGGCGAAAGCCUGAUGCAGCGACGCCGCGUGAGCGAAGAAGUAUUUCGGUAUGUAAAGCUCUAUAAGCAGGGAAGAUAAUGACGGUACCUGAAUAAGAAGCACCGGCUAAAUACGUG